CGUCUGUCUAACUCUAACGCAUAACCGAAGUCAGUCCGACCAAACUUUUUACCUCCAGGUUCUUCUUCUUCUAACGAACCUCCGUAAUUGCAACUGCUGCGAAAAUUAUCUUCGUAUUUUUGUCAUCCUUAUACGUUUUCGGAUUUCAGUUCCCGGUUCCGACACACCUGGAGUGAUCGAACAGUCGUGAGAAAAUAAUUCGGGAUAAAUUUGGGAUCCGAAAUGAUGACACGGUGUUUCUGAGGGAUCUGAAACGUAUAUACCAGCUCUAUUAUUUGAUGAGAGUGGCGAAAAUGUGUCGCGGGAAUCGCGGGUUGUUUCUGCAUCCACGCCCGACAUUUCCACAAGCCUUGAGCCUCUCCCGAAGAGCGAAGAGCAGUGGGAGGAAUGACGGAAAAGGGAAUAUAAGAGAGGGUGUAGACGUAGCUGCGAAACGGCGAGAAAUAUACCCACCGGGGGAUGAAAAUCAAGCCGAGCUGUC
rnacentral:misc_RNA from 1 species